UACAAGCAGUGGGAGCACAGGUUUACCUGUGUGACUGCGUACCUUUUGUAUAAUGGGUCAGCGACUUAUAUUCUGUAGCAAGGUUAACCGAAUAGGGGAGCCGGAGGGAAACCGAGUCUUAAUUGGGCGUUAAGUUGCAGGGUAUAGACCCGAAACCCGGUGAUCUAGCCAUGGGCAGGUUGAAGGUUGGGUAACACUAACUGGAGGACCGAACCGACUAAUGUUGAAAAAUUAGCGGAUGACCUGUGGCUGGGGGUGAAAGGCCAAUCAAACCGGGAGAUAGCUGGUUCUCCCCGAAAGCUAUUUAGGUAGCGCCUCGUGAAUUCAUCUCCGGGGGUAGAGCACUGUUUCGGCUAGGGGGCCAUCCCGGCUUACCAACCCGAUGCAAACUGCGAAUACCGGAGAAUGUUAUCACGGGAGACACACGGCGGGUGCUAACGUCCGUCGUGAAGAGGGAAACAACCCAGACCGCCAGCUAAGGUCCCAAAGUCAUGGUUAAGUGGGAAACGAUGUGGGAAGGCCCAGACAGCCAGGAUGUUGGCUUAGAAGCAGCCAUCAUUUAAAGAAAGCGUAAUAGCUCACUGGUCGAGUCGGCCUGCGCGGAAGAUGUAACGGGGCUAAACCAUGCACCGAAGCUGCGGCAGCGACNNNNNNNNNNNNNNNNNNNNNNGCUGGAGGUAUCAGAAGUGCGAAUGCUGACAUAAGUAACGAUAAAGCGGGUGAAAAGCCCGCUCGCCGGAAGACCAAGGGUUCCUGUCCAACGUUAAUCGGGGCAGGGUGAGUCGACCCCUAAGGCGAGGCCGAAAGGCGUAGUCGAUGGGAAACGGGUUAAUAUUCCCGUACUUGGUGUUACUGCGAAGGGGGGACGGAGAAGGCUAUGUUGGCCGGGCGACGGUUGUCCCGGUUUAAGCGUGUAGGUGUGUGUUCCAGGUAAAUCCGGUUCACUUUAACACUGAGGCGUGACGACGAGGCACUACGGUGCUGAAGCAACAAAUGCCCUGCUUCCAGGAAAAGCCUCUAAGCAUCAGGUAACAUCAAAUCGUACCCCAAACCGACACAGGUGGUCAGGUAGAGAAUACCAAGGCGCUUGAGAGAACUCGGGUGAAGGAACUAGGCAAAAUGGUGCCGUAACUUCGGGAGAAGGCACGCUGACACGUAGGUGAAGUGAUUUACUCAUGGAGCUGAAGUCAGUCGAAGAUACCAGCUGGCUGCAACUGUUUAUUAAAAACACAGCACUGUGCAAACACGAAAGUGGACGUAUACGGUGUGACGCCUGCCCGGUGCCGGAAGGUUAAUUGAUGGGGUCAGCGCAAGCGAAGCUCCUGAUCGAAGCCCCGGUAAACGGCGGCCGUAACUAUAACGGUCCUAAGGUAGCGAAAUUCCUUGUCGGGUAAGUUCCGACCUGCACGAAUGGCGUAAUGAUGGCCAGGCUGUCUCCACCCGAGACUCAGUGAAAUUGAACUCGCUGUGAAGAUGCAGUGUACCCGCGGCAAGACGGAAAGACCCCGUGAACCUUUACUAUAGCUUGACACUGAACAUUGAGCCUUGAUGUGUAGGAUAGGUGGGAGGCUUUGAAGUGUGGACGCCAGUCUGCAUGGAGCCGACCUUGAAAUACCACCCUUUAAUGUUUGAUGUUCUAACGUGGACCCGUUACCCGGGUUGCGGACAGUGUCUGGUGGGUAGUUUGACUGGGGCGGUCUCCUCCUAAAGAGUAACGGAGGAGCACGAAGGUUGGCUAAUCCUGGUCGGACAUCAGGAGGUUAGUGCAAUGGCAUAAGCCAGCUUGACUGCGAGCGUGACGGCGCGAGCAGGUGCGAAAGCAGGUCAUAGUGAUCCGGUGGUUCUGAAUGGAAGGGCCAUCGCUCAACGGAUAAAAGGUACUCCGGGGAUAACAGGCUGAUACCGCCCAAGAGUUCAUAUCGACGGCGGUGUUUGGCACCUCGAUGUCGGCUCAUCACAUCCUGGGGCUGAAGUAGGUCCCAAGGGUAUGGCUGUUCGCCAUUUAAAGUGGUACGCGAGCUGGGUUUAGAACGUCGUGAGACAGUUCGGUCCCUAUCUGCCGUGGGCGCUGGAGAACUGAGGGGGGCUGCUCCUAGUACGAGAGGACCGGAGUGGACGCAUCACUGGUGUUCGGGUUGUCAUGCCAAUGGCACUGCCCGGUAGCUAAAUGCGGAAGAGAUAAGUGCUGAAAGCAUCUAAGCACGAAACUUGCCCCGAGAUGAGUUCUCCCUGAGACUUAGAGUCUCCUGAAGGAACGUUGAAGACGACGACGUUGAUAGGCCGGGUGUGUAAGCGCAGCGAUGCGUUGAGCUAACCGGUACUAAUGAACCGUGAGGCUUAACCUUACAACGCCGAAG
rnacentral:rRNA from 1 species